rnacentral:rRNA from 1 species
AUUUGAAGAUGGUAAUCUUGGAUAUAGUCUUCGGCUAUGUUCCUUGGAACAGGACGUCACAGAGGGUGAGAAUCCCGUGUGCUGAGGUGCCUAUAUCCAUGUAAGAUGCUAUCGAAGAGUCGAGUUGUUUGGGAAUGCAGCUCUAAGUGGGUGGUAAAUUCCAUCUAAAGCUAAAUAUUGGCGAGAGACCGAUAGCGAACAAGUACAGUGAUGGAAAGAUGAAAAGAACUUUGAAAAGAGAGUGAAAAAGUACGUGAAAUUGUUGAAAGGGAAGGGCAUGAGGUCAGACUUGGUAUUAAGCGAUCAUUUCCUCUCGGGGUUGUGCUCUCGCUUUUUACUGGGCCAGCAUCAGUUUGGACGGUAAGAUAAUGACAUUGGAAUGUGGCUUUCUUCGGGAAGUGUUAUAGCCCUUGUUGAUGUUACCAGUCUGGACUGAGGACCGCGCAUUAUUGCUAGGAUGCUGGCGUAAUGGCCUUAUGCCGCCCGUCUUGAAACACGGACCA